UUCUGGAAUUUGAAGCACUGUGAAUUAAUGCAUGUUAUUGACCUUAGCACUAUUUGAAUUUUUUUUUCCUCUUUUAAGUGAAAUUAUACUGUCAUUGUCCUUAUCAUUAACAUAAUCAAUUGGAUUAAGUAGUCAUACUUGACAGGAAAUACUUCAGAAUCAAAGUUUUAUGCUACAAUUAAAUCGCCAGUAUUCCCAAACUAUCCAUAUACCCGUGGGGAACUUUAUUAUUGCCAGCUUUAAUUUCUUCCUGCUACAUUUAGUUGUGCAAUUCAUUAUUAUCUGGCAUUUCAGUAUAUAUAAACCUAUCUCAUUUGUUAAAGUACACAAAGAACAAGGAACUUCCCACUAGUCCUAAAUUUGAAGAAAUGUGCAGCCCUGUUGCACACUGUGUGUGGCAUAUUAACUAAUUUUUUGAAUUUCUAUGGAAUUUGUCUCUGUUGUAUUAAAUUAUCCUUUUAUAUCUGGUUGUUUAGGUGUGCUUAUUUCAUUUCUGGCUCUUUAAUUCUAAGUCACCAAAUGAUCUCAGGAUGAAAAUAGGCUUUAUAUCUUCCUUGAGCUUGUAACGAAGGGUUCACUUGCAAAUCUUUAUCAAAAGUACCACUUGAGUGAUUCUCAAGUCUCUUCAUACACAAGGCAGAUCCUGAAUGGCUUAGCAUAUCUUCAUGAGCGGAAUGUGGUUCACAGGUGAUAUAAUUGAUUUGGCUGCUAUAUUCUCAGUUCUUUUUCCUUAUCAUGUUGUGUCCUCUCAAUAUUCCACAUUUUAUGUCAAGAUGUCUCAGUGCAAAUAGAUGUAGCAUUCAUGAUUGUUUAUGCAGAUAGGAAAUCAGUUCUUUCUCUUGCUGUUUGUUUGCAAUAUGUGAUUAUUUAUACCAUUCGUUUUCUUUCCAAAAAUGCAGCUUUUUGGAGCUCAAUCUUUAAAACUAGUCUGGAAACAUGCAUAUUGUUAAGCAUUUCUAUUGUUGAUACUUUGUAAAUAAUUUCCUGAUGGUAUUAGAAAUAAGAUGUUGCAGAGUAAAGGUUGAGAAAAUUGGUAGAAACAAAGAGAAAAAGGUAUAAGCAUACAGAAAUAACAAAAGAGCAUUUAAAGUAGUAGGAUGUUUUGUAAACAGCUAACCAUGUUGAAUAUGCAUUUUGAAGAAAUAAUUGCAAUCAUAACCAUUUGCAGAUAGUUUUAAUCCCUCACAAGGAAAAUUACAUUCUCAGUUGCUGCAAAUCAUGGAUAUUGGUUUCAUUCAAGGUUAAACAGAAGAUAGCACUAACGGAGGUUGUUAUUUGUAAUUGAGGGAAAGUUUGCUUAACUGUUAUCAUCUUGCAAGUGUUAAUCAUAACUUAGCUGCUGCAGAGUUUCAACAGAAUAAUAAUCUAGUAUCUUCUUAGUGCGUGUACUGGGGAUGAAUUUAUAGACAAGGUGAAUCUCAGUUGAUGAGAGUAAGAAAUUCUUCUCUCAGCAAAAUGUUAUAAAAAUGCUCAUUCAGAUAGCUCACUGAUUGUUUACAGACUUACGAAAAUUGUUAAAAAGCGCGUGGAGAUGAAUAAAUAGCUUGUGUGAAUUAUUUUUUAAAGAGAAAAAAUGAAAUCGAUUUCCAGGCCAGUUAUGUAGCCGGUCUAUUUUUUGGGCUAAUAUAAUUGUGGCAGGUGAACUUAGCAAUCACACUUGAAAGUUGCUUUUGUUAUACUAUUUUAAGUAUGUCUCUUUUAAAAUUUGUCUCUUUUCAUUUUCAAGGGAUAUCAAAUGUGCAAAUAUAUUGGUAGAUGCUAGUGGAUCAGUAAAACUUGCGGAUUUUGGGUUGGCAAAGGUAGUUAAUCUCUCCCCUUCUUUGUGAAACUCAUGAAUGCUACUGAAUUUAAUGCAAUAUAUUUGAUCUUUUCAGGCAACUACAAUGAAUGAUCUCAAAUCCUGUAAAGGAACACCAUUCUGGAUGGCCCCUGAGGUUUUCCUCUUCUGUUGUAGUCUGAUUUAUAUAGACAAAAUCUGAUCUAUUUUCUGAAUGUCCAUCAUUCACAAUCGAAUUUGCAUGGUCUAAUGGUUUAACUGAUCUACUUGUUUAUAACCAUUGAUAUCUUGGUCAUUGUCAAAUUUGAGAGCUCUGGGACACAUAAAAUCUAAUUUUUCUUACCUUUUAGCUUGACAUGUUUGCCGCAGUUUUUAGGAGGUUAAUUUUUGAAUUUGACGCUACUGUGUUUUUAUAGCUUGCUUUUGUAUAGUUUUAAAGAUUGCAAAUCAGAUCCUCUACCUUCUUUCAUUUGAGUUUUGAAACAUUAUCUGCUCCCGUUCAUUUGAAGUUGAUGAGAAAAAGCCUCUCUUUAAUGUAGAUGGAGUUAAUACUAGUCCUAUAGUUGGUAUUGGUACACACAUUCAUAAAAAAUUAUCGCCCAGACAUAGGACCAAAAACCUGGAAACUGGCUCAUGGUAAAGAGUAAACAUCUUUUCAUAUAUCAUAUUGACACAUACCGAAUAUGUUUCUAUUAGACAUUUCAGGUUAACAAGAUUAGUUUUGCUUUUUAGGUUGUGAAUUCAAAGAACGACGGCUAUGGACUAACUGCUGAUAUAUGGAGCCUUGGGUGUACUGUGUUGGAGAUGUUAACCCGUCGGCCUCCAUACUCUCACUUGGAAGGCGUACGUAAAAAAAUUUCAUAUAUUAAAAUUGAUUUGCUUUCCCUACUUUUCCAUGUUUAUUUUAUAUGCCUGUUUUUUCUACUUUUCCAUGUUUUAUUUUAUAUGCCUGUUUUUUCUUGUUAAACAUCUUGUGAUUUGUAAAAGGUUGCAUCAGUUUUGAUAUGGUGCUUAGUUGUUGCAUAAUUUUGUGUGUUGGCAGGUGCAAGCAUUAUUCAGGAUAGGCAAGGGUGAGCUUCCUUCAGUUCCCAGCUCAUUAUCGAGAGAUGCCCGGGAUUUUAUUCUUAAAUGCUUACAAGUUAACCCAAAUGAUCGGCCUACUGUAACUGAACUAAUGGUGCAUCCAUUUGUAAAGAGGCCACUGCAAACUUCUAGGUGACUUCUCCUCAUUAUAACAUCAUGCAGUCUUGAAAGUUUGUGAUCAUGCUUUGGGGUUUACGUAUAUCCUAGAGGUAGUCUAGCGGCAUCAUCAAAUUUAAACUGCAACCUGUAGUUGUAGCUUUGACUUCUUGUUUGGACUUAAUAUCAUGGACACUGAAAAUAAUUGUUAAAUACAUUUAUAAACUAUCCAUUUGGGCUUGCAACUUCACUUUUCAAGCUUAUAGGGAACUAAGAAAUGGAGGAGCAAGAUUGUGAUGCAUCCAACUGCCUUGGUGAUCCAAAUUCACCGUAUGAAGGGAAUAAACAAGUUCCUCUAGAUGUUUUAAUGCAACCCCUUCCUGUUGAUAACUGGACAAACCUUGAGAGAUUAUUGCUUUUUAUACUGAUUUGCUUUGAGGUUAACCUACAAGUGGACAUUGUUAUUGUGUCGUUUGGUUCUAUAUAUUUUAGACUUGUGCUACUUUUUUUUAUUUUGCAUGCGUCCUUUGUUUGCAGGUGUGGCCAAGCCAAUUGCUAGUGCUUUUAAGAGAUUUGAGCUGAGGCACAUGUGGUGUUAAUACAAUGCUAAGCAUCUUUUGCCGUUGAAUCUACAUACCAGGCAAUUCUUGGCACGGAGAACAGAGAUGGUGCAUUCUAGGUGAAUAUGCACCAAGCACAACUGCUCAUGGUGUAAAACCGGAGAAACUGAUAUGGUGCACACAUCAGUGGCAUUUAAAUUGCCAGGUUUCCUUCCCUUCGUUCGGGCAAGGUUUUUUCUGUUACGGUUUUCUUUCCUUGGGCAGAGUGUUUUGACAUCAAUUUGGUGUAAUAACUCUUUUUCGAAAGUAAAAGUCAGUGCGUGUGAAAUUUUUAUGUUGCAUUUUAUGGUAAGAUCUCUCAAUAUAUGCUUAUGCAUAGGCUGAGAUGAUGUGUAAAUAUGUAGUUAGAUGCCGAUAUUUUGUGGUCUUGAUAAUCUGGAAUCUUAAAAUGUUGUUGUAAGAAAGCAAAUUGUUAUCAAUUUUUUGAAUAUUUUUCAUACACUACUUCCAGAUGUGGCACAGAGAAAACUGAAAUCUGCUACCUUGGAAAUUUCUUCCGGACGAAGGAUUGUGAAUUUCAGUUUUAGCAGAAAAGAAAUCCCUCUGCCUCUGCUAAGCCACUCAACUGAAGCUUCAAUAAGAGUUUACUCCUUGCAGAUACAAAUUCCAAGUGAUGUUUCACAAAUCAAACCUUUUCCCAGUAAAGCAUCUAUGAGGCUGUUGUAGUAGCUUAUUCCUUCUGGAUUAGGUUCCCCUGUUCCAUCUGUUAAAAGAUAAAUUCAAAAGCAACUAGUAAUUAGUCACAUCUGACAAAGAACUAUGGAAAGGAAAACUCAUGGCCUGUAUUUGUUUUCUUAACUUACUGGGAAAGAUUCUUGGCCAAGAUAUUGAGGAUUUGUAAGCAUCCAUUCCCAAAUACUUCAUCAAAUCUAUUUCACUCUGUAAAGAUUGUGUUUUCACCUUUCAAUUGUUAGCAAGAGACGGAUCAUACUUUUGGAUGACUUGUCAUAUUUUUUUCUUUUUUGACUUUUUCCAUAUUGUCUUCUUCGAAAACCUUUUCAUUUUCUUUUUUAUUUAUUUUUAAUUCUUUUUUUCUUUUAUUUACGGAAACGAGUAAUUCUAUUUUUGCGCAUAAAAUUAUUCGUGGCUGUAUGUUACGUGCAACACAACAAACUUUUUUUUUUCUCCCUAUUAUUUAAUGCUAAUCAAUUACAUUGGCAAAAAUACUCACUUAAAUUGAAUCUUUUUUACACAUACUGAAACACUAGUAGAAGUUUCCAUUAGUAGUAUCACUAAAAUAUAAUUGAACCUUUAGACAUACAGAUUAGUUAAAAAAAAUAAAAUAAAAUAAGAGUAGAUUACUUCACAAUUCUUAAGAUAUUGUAAUACCACAAAGAUAACAAAUUAAAAUAACAAGAGUUCAAUCUCUAAUUUUCUACCAUUUCCAUUCAUGUUAUGAAUUAUUGUUUCAUAUCAUAUUUUUAUUUACUCCUGUGAUUAAAGCAAACUGUAACGAGCAUAUCAAAAUCAUUCGAAUGAAAAAUUAAAAAUAGAAACUCAAGAAAAAAAAUGGAAAAAGAAUGAAACAUUGGAGAGGUUGCAACAAGUGACUGAUCAGGGUCAACAUUCAUAUUAGGAAGCAAACAAAAUGUUCAUGCAUAACAAUUUAAGAAAUAUUAAAGAGCCAAAAAACAAGGUCAUCACAGCUAAUCCAAAUAAUCAAAACCAUAUCUCAAUCCAUAAACAAUGACACGAGAUUACAUAAAAUUUGAGGAAAAAAGAAAAGUGCCACCAAAUUAAGCACUGGAGAGUGGAGAUUGAAAUUGAAAUUGAAAAGCGGAGACGCCAAAUUAAUUUGGCAUCACUUCCAAUUUAUCCAUCACCAUGUAAGUCACCACCCAUUAGUGGUAACUUUUAUCACAAACAUAACACUAAAGACAACACUAUUUUUUUUAUUUACAUAUUAGAUUUUAUAAACAUAGCAUAACAAUACAGAGCAUACUAUAAAUAUAUAGUAUCCAAAGCCGUUCAAAUUAAAUGUUAAAAUGACAGAGUCUGAAAAAAAGAGAAAACGUACAAUUCUAAAAUCUUAAGCUCUAGCGUUACCAAGGAGAACACUUGCCAAAAGAUUCUUGCAUUGCAUCGAUGCCUUCAGCAGCUUUAAACCACAACCAGUAACCACCAUUCAAAGAUUAGGGAAAAAAAAAGAUCCAGAUUAUUAAACAUAUGAUCCCAAGAAUUAAAUCACUAAGAAAACAACUUAAAAAUAUUACCUCAUCAAGGCCAAAAUUGAAAACUUUCUCCUAAAGGUUACCCAGAUCCAUAUCAAACUUUUCAUACAAAGUGACACUAGAGGUCACAUAUUUUUUUUUUUUUUAAAAAAAUGUCCACAGAUUGUGGAUAUUGAAAUAGAUGUUGAAGAGUGGAGACAUGAAAAAUUAGUGUAGAGUGGAGAUUAUAGAACGUUAAGCACUGAUUAAAGAAAAAAAUAAUGGCAGCGAGAGUUGAGAGUAGAGAAAGAGAGAGAGGAAAAUGAAGAAUUUUGGUUAGAGCGGCUAGGGUUUCUCAUGAAGUAAAAUAUGAAGUAUAUAUACUUUUAAUAAAAAAUUAAAAAUUUUCAAUUUUAUAGGUUAAAAACAAAGUAUUGUUAAAUAUUCCAUUUAGCGGGAGUUUUGCCUGCCUAAAUGAAAAAUUGUUCAUUUCAUUUUAAUUUACUUAUGUUAGUAAAUUAAUUUGAUAUAAUUAUACUUAUUUUAUAAUUUGUAUUCUAAAUGCUACUUAUUUUUUUAUUGUUAUAUUUCAGUGACACUUGAUUUAUUACUAAGAAAAUUGUAAUUGUGUCAUGCUUAAAAUAUAUAAUGGUAAAUAUAAUAAACACAACAUUAUUUAGUUGUAUUCAAAUUAUAGUUUUUCUUGUGGGUGCCACCUGAUUAAGGGUUGGAACUAUGCUCACAUAGAUGAGGAGGAAAUUGAUUGUUACUAUACUGAGGAAUAAGAAAUAAUUAUUAUCUAUGUUACAUUGUAAUUACAUUAUGAAUUUAGGUCGUUACAAUCAUGGGGUAUAAUUAUCUAAAAACAUGUAUAUAUAAUCAUUUAUAAAAAUUUGGCGUAUGUCCCAAGUUAAAUCAUGUGGAAGGUUCUUUUUUUUUUUUUUUUUUGGAAAGAAAGUACACCUUUAAUUGAAUUAAGAGAAAAGCACUUUUUUAAAGCCAACUUUGCCAAAUCAUGCGCUAAAAAAUUACACAUCCUAGGGACGUGCUGAGCUUUAAAAUUCUAAAAGAUUUUCUUGGCUUCUAAAAUGUCAAAAAUCACUCAAAAGGUCUCUGUCAAAGUGCUUCUCUUGUUAUUGAUUAGCUCUAUCACCCCUUUAGAAUCAGACUCUAAGAUAACUGAGGUUGCCCCUGCCUUGGCAGCUGCCUGCAUUCCCCACAAAAUAGCUUUUGCCUCACUCAACUCCACAUCUCCUGAGCUCUUAAAUGUGCUGACAGCUGCAACAACUGUUUCUCCCUUAUGGUUUUUAACUAUUGCUCCCAGCCCAACAAGAUAAUUCACCUUAUCCAUAGCAGCAUCAACAUUUACCUUAAGCCAUCCUUCUUUGGGUGGACUCCAUUGGCUUUGCUGAACAUUGUUUUGAUCUGUUAAGAAAUUCUCUUCUAGUUACUUUAUUCUUUUGACAGAUUCAGCAACUGUAACAGCUUUAGCCAUCAAUAUUACCGGGUCAUCAUAUUUUCCUUUGAAAAUGAGAUUAUUUCUAGCACUCCAAAUAAUCCACAAUAAAGAAGCUACCAGUUCACCACUCAUAUUCUUUUGCUGAAAAUGUGCAGAAUGCAAAGGGUAAUGACAUCUGGAAAAUUAGCCCCUUGAAGGACACUUCCCAGAGGUGAGUUUUUCCAAACCUUUCUAGCGAUUUUGCAGUCCACAAGAGCAUGAACUGUAUUCUCCCACCCACUCCUACACACUGGGCAGAUGGCCUCCUGCAUCACUCUUUUCUUCCAUAGGUUUUCUGCUGCAGGCAAGAUAUUCUUGGCUACUCUCCAAAGAAAAAUCUUUACUUUUUCAGGAAUCUUCAGCUUCCAUAUGACGUUCCACUGGCUUGGGUUCGGGUUGGAGCAGCUAGGAAUGCCUUUUGGCUUUUGUCCUAACGCCACUUGAUAGCCACUCUUCACCAGGUAUUGACCUCUCUUAUCAUAGUGCCAAAACAGAAUAUCCUCACUCUGCCUUCUCAGUAAAGGGAUUUGCACAGUGAGAUCUGCACCAUCUUUGCCAAAACAUUGAUAUAUGAUAUGUUCAUUUCAACACCUAUUUCCAUCAAUCAACUCAGGAACACAAGUUCCACUGGGCAGAUUUGGAGGGGUUGUGGGCUUAAAGGUUGUCGGCCUAGGGAUCCAGCUACUGUUAAAAAUAUUUAUAUGCUUUCCAUCCCCAAUUCUCCAUCUACACCCUUUUUUCAGCACCUCUCUUCCCCAUAAUAUACUUCUCCAAAUGUAGGAGGGUUUAGAGCUCAAACUAGCUUCAACGAAGGAUGAGUGCUUAAAGUACUUUGCUUUCAAAACUCGAGCCACUAGUGAAUCCGAGGCUUGAAUGAGUCUCCACCCUUGCUUUGCAACUAGAGCUUGAUUAAAACAUGAGAGGUCCUUAAAGCCCAAACCUCCUCUAAUUUUAGCUUGAUUCAAGUUUUCCCAUCUUGACCAAUGAAUACUUCUCUUCUCUUUAGUCGAACCCCACCAAAAUUUUGCUAUCGCUCCUAACAUAUCAUUACACAAACCCAAAGGUUCUUGUGGAAGGUGGAAGGUUCUUGCUCCUUGCUCCUUGCUCCUUGCAUAUUCAUCUUGACCAAUGAAUACUGCUCUUUGCUCCUUGCAUAUCAUUAGCUAUCGCUCCUUGAGGGGUCGUGGAAGGUUCUUGUUAACAAUUAUAUUUGGGCUCUCACAUGCCCCACCUUUAAAACACUGUAUUAUCUAUUGCAUGCACGCGCAUCCACAACAUAAAGCAAACUCAUUCUAUAAUGACAGUAAUAAAAUUUAAAAAUUAAGAUCUUGAAGUGAUUGUGGAGAAAAAUUUACAUAGAUCAAUCCUAGAGAGUAGGUUAAUCAUUGAUGUUCUCUUAUUUAACAGAGCAGUGGGUUCUAUAAAUUUUUAAUAUUAAAUUUUGAUAGUUGUAAGUUGGAACCAACUUGUUGAGAUCUCAAUAGUACUCACUUGUGAUCCCAUAAUCGGACCUACUGAAGUGGUAGGACUAACUUAUCGAAGUCUUUUUGGAAUUGCCAUGUUCAUGUGGCAAAAGAUGCCACGAAUCAACUGGCAAACACCACCAAGUCAGCGGGUGAUCCAAAAUCACCUGGUAUUGGAGAUGUUAACCCAUUGUCCUCUAUACUCUGGCUUGGAAUAGGUACGAAACACAUUAUCGUAUAUUCAAAUUGAUUUAAUUUCCCCAAUUUUGCAUGUUUUAUAUGCAAGUUUGUUCAUAUUAAACAUCUUGUGAUUUAUGAAAGUUGGCAUCAGUUUUGAUAUGGCAUUUAGAUUUUGCUUAAUUUUGUGUGUUGGCAGGUGCAGACAUUAUUCAAGAUAGCCAGGGGUGAACUUCCUCCAAUUCGUGACUCAGUAUCGAGGGAUGCCCGAGAUUUUAUUCUUAAAUACUUACAAGUCAACCCUAAUGAUCGGCCUAUUGCAGCUCAACUAAUGGAGCAUCCAUUUGUAAAGAGGCAGUUGCCAACUUCUUGGGGACUGCCUCUCCUCAUCAUUUCAUCAUGCAGUCUUGAAAGCUUAUGAUUAUCCUCUGGGUUUCAUGUAUAGGUAAUCUAUCAUGACCCAAUUUAGGGCUUGUUUGGUAUUGUUGUAGGGUGGUUGUAGGUUCUAAGUCAAAUUGAAUUUCUCCCAUGGUUGUUGUUUGGUAACGGAAAAAGGAGAAAAAAAUAGAGAGUGGAGGCAUUACUUUUAUCUCAUCCUUAACUUCCGUAAGUGAAGGAGAACAAAGGGGGAAAAGAGGGGAGUGGGGUGUUACCUUAAAAGGAUGAUUUAUUCAUUUUUUGGGGGGGCUCCAGGGCAUUUUUUCCUCUCUUCCUCUCAUGGAAAAUCCUUUUUUUUACACUAUUUCAUUUUUCUGCAAAUUACUUAAAAAUCUUUUGGUUUUUAAGGCAAUGUUUAUUAAGCCAUAUGAGUGGUGGCACAAGUUUUUUGGCAAAGGCCCAGAAACUGACUUGAACAUCGGAGGGUUCACGCCGGAAAAACUUUUGGCGCCUCUGACCGUCUUCUAUGAUUUCAGGUAUUCGCAGCUUAAUCGCUAGUGGUUGCAGGACAUCUUGACGAUUGACCAAUCGAUUCUCUACCAAAUAAAUCUAAUGCUGAUGCGGGAGUCUGGUAUCAAGUCGCUAACCGACUCAAUCGGAUUUCGGCAUCAAUAGUUGUUUGAUGAAAAACUUAUAAUACAUACACUAAUUUUGUGAAAAAUAUAAUUUAUGAAUCAUAUUAUUUAAACACAAUCAACUUCUAUAUCAUAAAUGCAUAUACAACACCAAAUAGACCCUUGAAUUAUUAAUUGCAUUUUGUACUUCGCUCCUUUUUGCAUUUAGCAGCAUCGACAUAAUGAAAAUAAUUGUUAAAUACAUUUAUAAAAUAUCCAUUUGGGUUUACAACUCCCACUCUCCAACUUAUGGGGAGCGAGAAAUGGUGGAGCAAGAUUGUGAUGUGUCAAACGAACCCCAAUUCACAGAGUGAAGGAGUAUGCAAGUGCCUCUAGAUGUUAUAAUGCAACUCCUUCCUGUCGAUGGCCAGUCAAACCUUGAGGGAUUCACAAUGGAUCCGGCUACGUUGCUUCUUAUACUAAUUUGCUUUGAGGUUAACCUGGCUACGUGUCCACAUGGUUAUUGUGUCAUUUGGUUCUAUUUCCUUUAGGAAUAAAUUCAAUGCUAGCGUUACUGUUGUUUAUUUUGCAUGUGCCUUUUGAUUGCAGGUAUGGGUAGGCCAGUUUCUAGUACUGUGGGUUAUGUUUGGAUGAAAAAAAAUAAGAAGAGAGGAGGGGAAUAAAAACGGAGAGAAUUGAGAAAAAAUAAAAGAAAAAGAAUGUCAGUUUCAAUUUCAUUAUUCUAAUUGAAUAAAUUGGCCUAAAUUGUAAUCUAAAAUUCAUGUAUUAAUAGUUCCCAUUUUCACAUGGAUUUAGAUAAAAUUAAACAACUUGUUAUACUCCAAAUUUGCUAUUAAUAUCUACAGAAGGUCCUUACCACCAAGCUGAUUUUGCCUCCUGCUAUUACACAAAAAUUCUUGCAUCAACAAACAAGAAUCUAUAGGCUACACAUAUUAUACAUAGAAAAUGUUAAAAUUCUUUGAGGAAAAUGAAACGCUGCAAAUACUUCAGGUAAAACACUGUAUUAUCUAUUGCAUGCACGCGCACCCACAACACAAAGCGAACUCAUUCUAUAAUGAUAGUAAUAAAAUUUAAAAAUUAAGGUCUUGAAGUGAUUGUGGAGAAAAAUUUACAUAGAUCAAUCCUAGAGAGUAGGUUAAUCAUUGAUGUUCUCUUAUUUAACAGAGCAGUGGGUUCUAUAAAUUUUUAAUAUAAAUUUUUAAUAUUAAAUCUUGAUAGUUGUAAGUUGGAACCAACUUGUUGAGAUCGCUGAAUAGUACUCACUUGUGAUCCCAUAAUCGGACCUACUGAAGUGGUAGGACUAACUUAUCGAAAUCUUUUUGGAAUUGCCAUGCUCAUGUGGCAAAAGAUGCCACGAAUCAACUGGCAAACACCACCAAGUCAGCGGGUGAUCUGGUGGGAUUGGCACUACAGUAAUUAUAUUUAUCUCUGCCAACGUGUCGCCGCCAGAAGGGAAAGAAUAGGAGGAAUACCGACAAAUAUUCUAUCAUUUAUGUACAAACAAACACUUUAUUUAUUCGAAACUCCUGUUUCGACUGUUUCGUGUGACAGAGAAGCUGGAGAAGGAUAAUAAACCUCUCGCGCUCGGUCACUCUCAACUGAACAUGUCUCUAUGUACGGACCCUUCAUCGCGCCGCGUCAAUAACAUGCCGAUUGCCAUGAACCGCCGUGGAAGGUUCCGUAUGGUCGCCAAUCUCGCCAACCAGGCCGAGGCCAGGGUUAACACUUUCGAAAUACGGGUCCUAUUUUACUCGCUACUCUCAUUCCUUUAUUAUUUUUCGUUGUUGAGACAGUAUUGUUUUGAACAGAGGGUUAGUUCAACUCUCAUAUUUUCUUUAAGUAUACAAUGAGGCUUACAAAGAUCAGAUAAUUUUUGUUUUUUUUAAUCCCGGAUGCUGUGACUUUUAUCUUAUAUGAUCAUUUGAUGAUUAGUUGUUAAGCCUUGUUACUUCUCACCCGAAUGUAGAGAGUUUCAGUACCUUGAAAAUUUAAAUGCUGUGUGAACUGGAUCUGGAUUGAUAAAUGGUACAUUUGGACAUCGAAUUUAUUAUUCCCAACUCAAGGCUCUCAGUUGUGUUACAGGAUAAAAAAAAUUAUUUCACUUAGUGUUCCAAAAGCUGCGUCGCAGUUUAUUGAUGAUGUGCCAUCAAGUGAAUGCGCUGCACCCCACGGUCCACAUUAUUUUCAAAAAGCUGCACUUGAUUUUACUAGAUCACUUGACGAUGCGCCGUUGAGUGAAUACCACGCCAAAGCUAGAAGAUUUCAAGAAUUUGUUGAUGAUAUAGGAUCCACCAUCAAAGGCCAUAAUUUAAAGAUACCGAAACGUACAAAUGCAGUGUUUUCCCUCAGGGUAGGGAUUUUAUUAACUUAUCCUGUAUUGAAGGCAACAUCCUUUGGGGUAUAUCUUCUCAGUCAUCUUGUGUUCAAAGCAUUUUCAUCCGUGCGGAAUAUAUUUAGUAAUUUUUUGUUGGGGGUCGCAUUUGUACGACAUAAAUUUCAAUAUUAUAUGUCAUUUUGUAAAUACAUUGUGACCCUUGCUGCCAAAGUUAGAAGAAUGCAAGAAUGUCUUAAUGAUGCAGAAUACGUUUCACAUGAUGAUGAUGAUUCUAAAGAUCAUCCAAUUAGCAUAAUUAUGGAACCGGUUUAUAAUGUCUCUCCGAAUGGGAAAUUUAGAAGAAAAAUAACGUCAUGGCAAAAGGGUGACCCUUUGGGAAGUGGGUCAUUUGGGUCUGUGUAUGAAGGCCUCACUGAGUAAGUGAAAUCUGUUCCUGUGUUAAUGUUCUUGGAACUUGUGAAAAGGAGUUUUAUUGUUCUGAUUGUAUUUCAAUAUCCAUUUGGUUACAUAGCCUUAUUGAUAUGUACCUGCUGAAGGUUUUUAAUAAGUUAAGAAGGAUGUACAAUGUUGGUUUAGAAGGAAGUUUCUAUGAACUUAUUGAAUACCUUGUCUGCUUUCUGAAUGAUAAUACAAGAAAAGUGAUAGACUUCAUGAUGAGACCUCAAUGGGAUUUUGGGUAUGCUACUUGUAAAUCUACUCAUCUUAUUUCUCAAGAUAGUCAUGCAAGAUGAAUUCAACUUCGUUUUUGAGGCAGAUAAAUUUGAUGAUGAGCUAGACUGGAUAUUCUUUUGCACAUUCCUACUUGAAACAAUUAACUUUUGCAACUAUUUUACCAUUUUCUUCUAAAUAUUUCUAAGGUUUUGAGGUGUAUUUUAUUUGUUUUGCAAUGAAAGCGGUUAGGAUUAUAUUUAUGUGGUCAGGCUUAAAAUGAUUAACUUGGCCUUGUUUACUAUCUUUGAUAUGCAUGUUUAUUUGCAAGCAGCCACGAGCAUGUACUUAUUUUUUCAGCAACUUCUCUCAUGCUUUCUGGUUUGUUUGCAGUGAUUCUUUUUUGCUGUGAAGGAGGUUUCUUUGCGGGAUGAAGGACCUCGGGGAAAGCAGAGCAUUCUUCAACUUGACCAGGUGGGAUGAUUAGUCUUGUCCUGCUGGAAGUCCAUUACAUAUUAUUCUGCAGUCUUUUUCUCUGCUUUAAACUACAAAUCAUGCAGUUGCAUAUUUUUAUUCUGCCUCUAAAUAGCUAUGUGACAAGAUCAUUUCUCUAAUAAUAUGUUUAUUGGCUCAGGAAAUUUCUCUUUGAGUCAGUUUGAACAUGACAACAUAGUUCAAUAUCUUGGCACAGACAAGGUAUGCGUCUAACCUCAGUGCUUGCAUUUUCGCCUUUCAUUUUCUCAUAGUAAUAUUUGUGAAGUGAGAUUCAGAACUGUGUGCUUGUAAUGACAUUUAUAGACCCCUAACACCUAUGAUUUUGCUGGAAUUUGAAGCAUUGUGUAUUAAUGCAUGUUAUUGACUUUAGCACUAUUUGAGUUUUUUUUUUCUCCUCUUUUAAGUGAAAUUAUACUGUCGUUGUCCUUAUCAUUAACAUAAUCGAUUGGAUUAAGUAGGCAUACUUGACAGGAAAUACUUCAGAAUCAAAGUUUUAUGCUACAAUUAAAUCGCCAGUAUUCCCAACUAUCCAUAUACCUACGAGGAACUCUAUUAUUGCCAUCUUUAAUUUCUUCCUGCUACAUUUAGUUGUGCAAUUCAUUAUUAUCUGGCAUUCCAGUAUACAUAAACCUAUCUUAUUUGUUAAAGUACAGAAAGAACAAGGAACUUCCCACUAGUCCUAAAUUUGAAGAAAAAUGCAGCCCUGUUGCACACUUUGUGUGGCAUAUUAACUAAUUUUUUGAAUUUCUAUGAAAUUUGUCUCUGUUAUAUUGAAUUGUCCUUUU
rnacentral:lncRNA from 1 species